rnacentral:tRNA from 1 species
GGAGACGUAUCGAAGCGGUCAUAACGGGGCUGACUCGAAAUCAGUUAGGCAGCAAUGCCACGUGGGUUCGAAUCCCACCGUCUCCGCCA